GUGGGGAUGGGGGGUGGCGAGACCAGACCUCCUCGUCCCUGGGACCCGCUGCGUCGUGUAACCGCUGGACGAGAAGCUGCGGAGACGGAGGCACAUCACUCGCACGGCGGGCGCACAGCAAUGGCAGGCGGAGCGACACCUCUCCCUGCUCUCGGCUCCGCGAGCAACGGCCGAGUGGCGUCGGCGCGGGGCGGACCAUUACGCGCAGCGGAGGGUGUGCGGCGCCGGGGGGGGGGACGGGGACACUCGUCCGUUUACCAUGAAACCUCCUCCCUGGCGGGCGCUUUCUCACUGAACCACGUCCUGGUGGCAGUUACUCUUCCAGCCCUCUGUUCAUUUGGUUGUUUUGUGUCUAUUGGCCACGGCUGAAGGAGCGCGUCCACCCCCGCUGCCCCCGCGGAAUGGACAGUCCGGGAUACGACGAGGAGAAGCGACGCUGCUGAGAGAAAAGAGCACUUUCCCCGUGUGCUGACGGACACGGUGUUGGUGGUGGUGGUGUCUGUGAGAGGCUGCGUGAUUCCCUCCUGUGUGCGGUUCACUCAUGGCUGCAGCGUCCGGCUGUGGCUCUGGCUCUGUUUCAACUUACUAUCGGAAACCCUCUGGAGAAAUGAGACCGACUGAAGUUCUCCAUCAAUCCGUGUCACAUUAUUGUCGACCAGGUCAACUAUGGCUACACUGGGUAGCCUUUCAUCUGGAGCCAUGCAGUCGCCGUCUUCCAUAUCCAGCCACAGCACAAGCCAUUAAUCACACCCUCCAUCAUAUCACAUCGUGCAUUGAGCACAACUGUUUCCAGAGGCACUGUGCAGACGAGCAGUAGAGCGGCGUCUGGCCAAACAGAGAACUGCAGCAUGGUUAGAACAUCAAUGGAACAAAUGAAGAGGUUUAGAUGGAAAAAUAAGAUUGAAGAUCGAAGAGUCUACGGCCAUGCUAGCAGCUCUGUGAGGCUUUACCUAAAGGUAUCAGACAAACGGAAAAAAUUGACCCGAUGAUGGCACGAGAGGAAACGUCUGAAGAUCAUCAAAGUCGUUGCUGUUUAUGCCGGGGGGACGUGAAUGUGUGUAUCGCAUUUCAUGGCAAUCCAUUUCUACAACCACCAUGAGUUGCAAGUGGAAAAGUCAGAAGAUCACCACAGUCACAAUGCUCCUUUGUCUGGAACCGUGGAUGUACAAAAUUUCCUAUCAAUCCAUCUAAAAAGGUCAACCUGUUGGUGAUGCUCGGGGGAAAAUGGCAGAGAUAAACAAAGACGUAUCCCCUGGAGACGAUAAAUGUCUGUACAAUUUUCGCCGCCAAUUAUUCCAACAAUUUUCCAAGACAUUUCGGUCUAGACAAAAGUGUUGGACUGACUGAUCAAGAGACCAACAUUGCCAUGCCAAGAGUUAUAACUUGUUUUUCCAUCAAGUUUCACGGUAUCUACGUAAAUGACAUUAACUACUAGCAGGACUCCAAAAGUGAACUUUAAGGAGUAACCAUACCUGCAGUUGCCAAUUACUGUACUAUUAUGUAUACUAUGUACUUCCUUAAUUCAUUCACAACCACAGAAGAAAGGUUAUCCUGUGUAGGGACAGUCUGGAGUGCUGUUAUUUGGAGACAUGUAGCUCUUGUACUAAAUUUACCAUGGACUGUUUUCAGUCACUGAUAGCGAACCAGGCCCCUUUUAAUCUUCUGAAGACAUUUACUCCAAGAGGCAGCCUGUGAUCAACCAACCAAAAGAGGCAUCUCUCAUUUUCGUCUCUCUCUCUUGCUCUUCCUCUUCUCAACGGACAAGCAUUGCUGAGCCGUUUAUAGCCAGAGAACAGUCUCUGCUGCAGUGAACCUGGUUGAACUCCACUCUGCUUCUCAGCAAUAUCUCAAGUAGCUUAAAAAGUAAUGGCCCGAGUUGCAGGUCUACUUUACAUUCCACCACUUUCCCUCUUCUGUGAUUAUUUCUCAGCGAAUUUAACGGCCCGUUACCAUACACUUCCCUCAAACAUAUCUGAAUAUUGAAUGUUGAAUCUCUCUCUCUUUUUUUCUCCUUGUUAAGUUUGAGGUAAGCACACAUUAACAGUCAAUACACCGUAUGCAUUUGAUGAGGAAGCACUAGUCAUUACGUCAUGCUUUCCAUCCACGUGACAGACAACCCCAUUGUUUGCUGCAGAAUGAGACUGUAAAUUAAAAAUACUGCAAAUCCCAAGGUACAAUCUGCAGUGCACUCAGCUCAGUCUGGUGUGUGUGUAUGUGUGUGUGUCUGUGUUGCCAGUAAAUACUUCAUGAAAAACAAUCCAAACUUUUCCCUUGAUUGUUCCAACUACAUAGCAGACAAUGCAAAUAACUUCAAGCAGCAUGUUGUUGCUGCCCAGUCGUAUUUGUUCAUAUAAGGUAAAUGCAUUACACAGUGUCUGUUGUACUUGUGUGUCCUCCAGCUCAAAAAUACAGCAUGUUCCCCCCCAAAGUGCCAUAUCACACUACAGUACGGACGAUCACAUCUUUCUCUAUUGAUAAUGAUCCGCUUUUUAAAGCUGAUAACAAAAUCUACCAAAAGAAAUCAGAAGGACACUAAUAAUCAGUAAUAAUAAAAAGUGAGAGACAAGGAGGUCACAGAAAAAGAAAAAGGGGUUUUUCAAUUGAAAAAAAAUCGCUUGUUAUCACAGAGAAGUGUUAAAUAACUUGUACCCAGGCUGCACCUACAUGUGAUCAUCCAAUAAAGGUGCACUAAGUGACGGGUGGGUGCAUGGAAAUAUUUUGCAGACACGUUACUCUGCUGCGCAUACUAUACACAGUAAGCAAUUCAGCAAUGUGGGGAAGACAGAUUAAAUAAGGCAAAAUAUCAGUGUUUCAUAGGAUUUUUUCUCUCUCAUUUGUCAUUUAAUUGCUGCUGCUGAACUAUUAAGAGUUAAGUGUCUUGUGAAAUCGAGCAGUGCAAGAUGUUUUUACCGGUGAUGUUUUAAUCUGUGAGGGCAAGAAAAGACAACUGUACCCUGAAUUAUUACAAAAUGUAGAACAACUUAUUUUAGAUGUGGGGCUCGACAUAAGAUGGGGGAAAUGUGGGUCUUACAGCAGCCCACACAUAAGGAAUACCGGUAAAAAAUUUGUAUCAGCAUCACACUGCACACAGUGUGACAAGUUAGACUGCGGCGGACGGCCGGUUUGAGUAAUUAAUGGGAAACACUGCAGUGACGUAUGGCUUCAGAAACUGUGAGGUAGAGCCACUGAGGUACUGCAACAACUCACACAUAAAAAGUCGGCCUUAAGGCCUCACCUCUAACAGCCGAGACACAUUAACAGUCACAAAGUGGGAAGCCACACAUAAAUAUACAGUAAUUAUUCCGCACUGUUACUUUUAACAGGUUUAUGUGUCACCCCGAACUGAGUGAGGGAGGGUGCAGUAAAAGCAGCAGUUAAACUGUCGGGAGGCGCUUCCCAGUAAA